GGGGAUAGCUCAGUGGUAGAGCACAUGCUUAGCAUGCACGAGGUCCUGGGUUCAAUCCCCAGUAUCUCUG
rnacentral:tRNA from 1 species